rnacentral:rRNA from 1 species
CCCUUAGAUGUCCUGGGCCGCACGCGCGCUACACUGAGUGUCUGAGAUACGAGUCUGCCUGGUCCGGCAAGGUCUAGGUAAUCGCUAAAAGACACAUCAUGCUUGGGAUAGAUUAUUGCAAAUAUUAAUCUUGAACGAGGAAUUCCUAGUAAGCGCAAGUCAACAGCUUGCGUUGAUUACGUCCCUGCCCUUUGUACACACCGCCCGUCGCUCCUACCGAUUUCGAGUGGUCCGGUGAAUCUUUUGGAAUUAGAGUGCAAACUCAAACUAAGAUCGAUAAACCUUAUCACUUAGAGGAAGGAGAAGUCGUAACA